CCUAGGGGAGGCAGCAGUGAGGAAUAUUGGUCAAUGGACGGAAGUCUGAACCAGCCAUGCCGCGUGCAGGAAGACGGCUCUAUGAGUUGUAAACUGCUUUUGUACAAGGGUAAACCUGAAUACGUGUAUUCAGCUGAAAGUACUGUACGAAUAAGGAUCGGCUAACUCCGUGCCAGCAGCCGCGGUAAUACGGAGGAUCCAAGCGUUAUCCGGAUUUAUUGGGUUUAAAGGGUGCGCAGGCGGGCUGUUAAGCCGGCGGUAAAAAUUCAGGGCUCAACCCUGUCGAGCCGUCGGAACUGGCAGUCUUGAGUGGGCGAGAAGUAUGCGGAAUGCGUGGUGUAGCGGUGAAAUGCAUAGAUAUCACGCAGAACGCCGAUUGCGAAGGCAGCAUACCGGCGCCCAACUGACGCUGAGGCACGAAAGCGUGGGGAUCGAACAGGAUUAGAUACCCCUGUAGUC
rnacentral:rRNA from 1 species